rnacentral:rRNA from 1 species
UACGUAGGGUGCGAGCGUUGUCCGGAAUUAUUGGGCGUAAAGAGCUCGUAGGCGGUGUGUCACGUCGGCCGUGAAAACCUGCAGCUUAACUGUGGGCGUGCGGUCGAUACGGGCAUCACUGGAGUUCGGCAGGGGAGACUGGAAUUCCUGGUGUAGCGGUGAAAUGCGCAGAUAUCAGGAGGAACACCGGUGGCGAAGGCGGGUCUCUGGGCCGAUACUGACGCUGGGGAGCGAAAGCGUGGGGAGCAAACAGG